rnacentral:ncRNA from 1 species
CUGGGAGAGAUACAAAGGCGUGCGCCGAAGGGGCAGAAGAACUCUCAGGCAAAAGGACCGGU